AGAAAAGACCCUGAUGCUGGGAAAGAUUGAAGGCAGGAGGAGAAGGGGAUGACAGAGGAUGAGAUGGCUGGAUGGCAUCACCGACUCCAUGGACAUGAGUUUGAGCAAGCUCUGGGAGUUGGUGAUAGAGAAGCCUGGCAUGCUGCAGUCUAUGAGAUGGCAGACAUGACUGAGCGACUGAACUGACUGACUAGUGAUUUUGAAAAGUAAAAUUUUAAAAGAGUUUGUUUCACGUACUGAGAUAAAGUUGCUUAAUAAAAGCUUUAUCUGAAAAAAAAAAAAUGUUUUUAAAAGAACUUUUCGAGACACCUACUCAGACACAUGGCCAGAAGAUGGCGCAGGUUUUCCAUUACCUGAUUCACAUCAUCAGAAUGAAAUCUCUUUCAAAAGAAAUAGCUUGAUCUCAAAUACAGGAAAGAGUCCUCACUCUGAAAUGAGAACUAGAAUUUUUAAUACAGGAUGGAAUUAGGCAUCCUUUCUUCAGAGAAACCACCUUCCUCUAGAGAAAGAUUACUAGGUUAGGAUAUGUCCUCUGGGCUAAAACAGUGCUACACCCCAAAGGAAAGCCCUAUGUUGGCUGCAAAUCUCUGUGGAAUUUAGGAGCAACAGGAGUGAAAAGCAAAGGAACAGGGUAUCUAGUCCCAGGGCAGGUAGAGAUGAAUGCAACAGACUCUCUAAUCUUUUCUCUUCUUUUGCCUCCACUUUGACUUCUGGCAUCAGUGGUAGAACCCACCUCCUUGGCACAUCCACUGAACAGGAGGUAAGCAGUGAUGGGAGCACAGUACCAACCACAGGUGCAAAAGGCUUUGACCUUGAGGACCAAGCCCCCUGUGACUGCUUCCAAGAAACUUGCCCAGACAACUCCUGCAAGUGUGGCUGACAGCCUUCUCUGCCAUUCACAGAACCCACUAACAGGGUAAAUGUUAUUCCUUAAAAUGAGAUGCUUCACUGAGGACCUGACUCCACCUGCUGAGAGCUGCUGCAGAGGACACUGCCAGAGGCUCUGGGAGUGGAGGCCCACUUCCCACUCACACUUGCCUGGAGACCCACUGCAGACAGGAGACCACUGUUCCUGCUGACAUGUCUCCUGCCCAGACUUCUGCUUGGAGAGGUUCCUUACCCCCUUUUCUAUAUUCCCAAAUUUGACUAAUG
ensembl:lncRNA